CACGUAGGGCGCAAGCGUUGUCCGGAAUUAUUGGGCGUAAAGAGCUCGUAGGCGGUCUGUUGCGUCCGCUGUGAAAACUCGGGGCUUAACCCCGAGCCUGCAGUGGAUACGGGCAGACUAGAGGUAGGUAGGGGAGAAUGGAAUUCCCGGUGUAGCGGUGAAAUGCGCAGAUAUCAGGAGGAAUACCGAUGGCGAAGGCAGGUCUCUGGGCUGACACUGACGCUCAUGCACGAAAGCGUGGGGAGCAAACAGG
rnacentral:rRNA from 1 species